GGCGAACGCUGGCGGCGUGCUUAACACAUGCAAGUCGAACGGAAAGGCCUGCUUUCCCUUGUGGAUUGCGGGUACUCGAGUGGCGAACGGGUGAGUAACACGUGAGUGAUCUGCCCCCAACUUGGGUAUAAGCCUGGGAAACUGGGUCUAAUUCCCGAUAGGACUGCAGGGUGGUGCCUGUGGUGGAAAACGAUUUUCUAGUGGUUGGGGAUGAGCUCGCGGCCUAUCAGCUUGUUGGUGGGGUAAUGGCCUACCAAGGCGGCGACGGGUAGCCGGCCUGAGAGGGUGGACGGCCACAGUGGGACUGAGAUACGGCCCAGACUCCUACGGGAGGCAGCAGUGGGGAAUAUUGCACAAUGGGCGGAAGCCUGAUGCAGCGACGCCGCGUGGGGGAUGACGGCCUUCGGGUUGUAAACUCCUUUCGACCGCGAGGAAGCCACCUGGUUGGAAGGGUGGUGACGGUAGUGGUAGAAGAAGCACCGGCUAACUACGUG
rnacentral:rRNA from 1 species